rnacentral:rRNA from 1 species
GGCGAACGCUGGCGGCGUGCUUAACACAUGCAAGUCGAACGGAAAGGCCCUGCUUUUGUGGGGUGCUCGAGUGGCGAACGGGUGAGUAACACGUGAGUAACCUGCCCUUGACUUUGGGAUAACUUCAGGAAACUGGGGCUAAUACCGGAUAGGAGCUCCUGCUGCAUGGUGGGGGUUGGAAAGUUUCGGCGGUUGGGGAUGGACUCGCGGCUUAUCAGCUUGUUGGUGGGGUAGUGGCUUACCAAGGCUUUGACGGGUAGCCGGCCUGAGAGGGUGACCGGCCACAUUGGGACUGAGAUACGGCCCAGACUCCUACGGGAGGAAGCAGUGGGGAAUAUUGCACAAUGGGCGGAAGCCUGAUGCAGCAACGCCGCGUGCGGGAUGACGGCCUUCGGGUUGUAAACCGCUUUCGCCUGUGACGAAGCGUGAGUGACGGUAAUGGGUAAAGAAGCACCGGCUAACUACGUG